AUUGAACGCUGGCGGCAGGCCUAACACAUGCAAGUCGAGCGGUUGAGAGUAGCUUGCUACUUGAUGCAGCGGCGGACGGGUGAGUAACGCGUGGGAAUCUGCCCAGUAGUGGGGGACAACAGCCGGAAACGGCUGCUAAUACCGCAUACGCCCUACGGGGGAAAGGGGGGGAUCUUCGGACCUCUCGCUAUUGGAUGAGCCCGCGUCGGAUUAGCUAGUUGGUAGGGUAAAGGCCUACCAAGGCUACGAUCCGUAACUGGUCUGAGAGGGUGAUCAGUCACACUGGAACUGAGACACGGUCCAGACUCCUACGGGAGGCAGCAGUGGGGAAUAUUGGACAAUGGGCGAAAGCCUGAUCCAGCCAUGCCGCGUGUGUGAAGAAGGUCUUCGGAUUGUAAAGCACUUUAAGUUGGGAGGAAGGGUUGUAGAUUAAUACUCUGCAAUUUUGACGUUACCGACAGAAUAAGCACCGGCUAACUCUGUGCCAGCCGCCGCCGUAAAAC
rnacentral:rRNA from 1 species